rnacentral:rRNA from 1 species
UCCGUAGGUGAACCUGCGGAGGGAUCAUUACCGAGUUUACAACUCCCAAACCCAAUGUGAACGUUACCAAACUGUUGCCUCGGCGGGAUCUCUGCCCCGGGUGCGUCGCAGCCCCGGACCAAGGCGCCCGCCGGAGGACCAACCAAAACUCUUUUUGUAUACCCCCUCGCGGGUUUUUUUAUAAUCUGAGCCUUCUCGGCGCCUCUCGUAGGCGUUUCGAAAAUGAAUCAAAACUUUCAACAACGGAUCUCUUGGUUCUGGCAUCGAUGAAGAACGCAGCGAAAUGCGAUAAGUAAUGUGAAUUGCAGAAUUCAGUGAAUCAUCGAAUCUUUGAACGCACAUUGCGCCCGCCAGUAUUCUGGCGGGCAUGCCUGUCCGAGCGUCAUUUCAACCCUCGAACCCCUCCGGGGGGUCGGCGUUGGGGAUCGGCCCUGCCUCUUGGCGGUGGCCGUCUCCGAAAUACAGUGGCGGUCUCGCCGCAGCCUCUCCUGCGCAGUAGUUUGCACACUCGCAUCGGGAGCGCGGCGCGUCCACAGCCGUUAAACACCCAACUUCUGAAAUGUUGACCUCGGAUCAGGUAGGAAUACCCGCUGAACUUAAGCAUAUCAAUAAGCGGAGGAA